UCUUCCUACAUCCAUUUGGUCAUUGGAUUUGCUUUGUCCCUUGAUGAGGGAGACAGAUGUGGGCGCUAAACUCCAGGAGAUGCUCCGUUCCUUACCUGCAUCAACUCUCUCCAAGGCUAUCCUUAGGUCCUCCUCUGCCCGAAAUUUGGGAAGUCAAGACUUCCAGAAGCCUUCAGGCAGGAGUCUGCCCCAGGAAGCUGGCCUCAUGGCAGCUACUCUCCACUCUUCCCCAGCCUUUACCAGCCUUCUGUCACCACAACAUCCCCAAGGCCUGGCACAGCGCCAGGCAUGUGGUAUUGUUGAAUGUAACAAACAUGUAAGAAGUGACUUAAAACAAAAACGUACAGCUUAAUUAUCACAAAGCAAAAAUCCACAAAACCAUCACCCAAAUAAAAAUGGAACAAUGUCCCAGAAGCCACCUCGGUUCUCCUCCAGAUCACCUCCCUCCUGUCCCCCCAUAGUUGACCACUAGCCAGAUUUUUGUGGUAAUCACUCACUUGCAUUUAAAAAUUUUUAUCACCCAAUCAGGCAGCUCUUAAUACUAUAUAGUUUUUAGAGUCAAAAAAUGAAGUUGUACUGUAUACAUUUUGUAUCAGGCUUGUUUUGGUCAACAUUAUGUUUUGGAGAUGUGUACAUAUUGUGGCCGGAGUUCAUUUAUUUUCAUUGCUGUAUCAAUUUCCCUUGUAUGAAAAUACCACCAGUAGUUGUUUCUAGUUUGGGACUACUGCAGACAAAACUGUUAUAACCAUUAUUGACCACAUCUCUUGAUGUCCUUGUGGAAUUGCUGGGUCAUAGAGUAUAUGUACGCUUAGUUUUAGUAGAUAUGCCAAACUGUUCUACCUAGGGAUUAUAACAAUUUUCACUCCCACCAGUACUGUAUGAGGAUUCCUUUUCUCUACUUCUUUGCCAAUACUUAUCGUGGUUACUUCUUUUAAUUUUAGACAUUCUGGGUACUGUUCUGUAUGACUAUACUCCGAUUUGCUCAUUUUUCCAUUUCACUAAUUACUAAUGAAGUUGACUCCCUCUUCAUAUAUUUGCUGGGCAAUUGAAUAUUCUUUUUGUGAUGUUCUUAUCGGUGAUUCUUUCCCAUUUUUUCAAGUUGUCCAUCUUCUCCUUACUGAUUUGUAAGACGUCUUCUUAUACUGUGGAUAUGAGGCCUUUGCCAGUUAUGUGUGUUGUGAAAUCUUUUCCGCCAUGUGCUUGCUUUUUCACUUUCUUACUUAUAUCUUUUGAUGAACAAAAGUUCGUAUUUUAAUGUCCAAUUCAUCAGUCUUUUCCUUUAUUC